UAAUACGUAGGGACCAAGCGUUGUUCGGAUUUACUGGGCGUAAAGGGCGCGUAGGCGGCGUGUUAAGUCACUUGUGAAAUCUCUAAGCUUAACUUAGAACGGUCAAGUGAUACUGAUGUGCUAGAGUGCAGAAGGGGCAACCGGAAUUCUUGGUGUAGCGGUGAAAUGCGUAGAUAUCAAGAGGAACACCUGAGGUGAAGACGGGUUGCUGGGCUGACACUGACGCUGAGGCGCGAAAGCUAGGGUAGCAAACGGGAUUAGAUACCCCGGUAGUCCUAGCCCUAAACGAUGAAUACUUGGUGUCUGGAGUUCUUUUCUCCGGGUGCCGUCGCUAACGUUUUAAGUAUUCCGCCUGGGGAGUACGCACGCAAGUGUG
rnacentral:rRNA from 1 species